rnacentral:lncRNA from 1 species
CUGGGAUUACAGGCGUGAGCCACCGCGCCCGGCCGAUUGUGAGUCUUUUAUAAAGCUCUGGAGAUAAGAAGGCCAAAAUGAGUCCUAUGGAGUAUUUGCACAGCCAGUUUCUUCUGGAAGCUUCAAGAGAGAGUCUGUUCCUUGCCUUUUCCAGCUUCUAGAGGCAGCCGACACUCCUUGGCUCAUGGCCACAUAACUCUGACCUGUGUCUAUUGUCACAUCACUGACUCUUCUGACCUCCUACCAGGACCCUUGUGAUUACAUUGGGCCUGCUUGGAUAACCCAGGAUAGCUUCUCCAUCUUAAGGUUGUUAAUCACAUCUGCAGAAUGCCUGUUGCCAUAUAAGUUAACAUAUUCACAGGUUCUAGGAAGAAGGACAUGGACAUCUUCCAGGAAGCAUUAUUCUGUCUACCACAGCAGGUAAAUGCAUGUUGUCCCAAGUAGGCUAUCUUGAGAUAAAAUUUAACCAGAUACUUCUGUGUCUCAGAGAGGAUUUUACCUUUGAGGGAGGGAGGAAGCAGAUAAGCCAUGCUGUGAUUUGGUCCAGGUAACUUCAGUUCUCUUAAAGAUAGUACCUCAUUUUUCUUUAAAGAGAUGGCUCACUAUGCCCAAAGAUCCCUAACCAAGGGCCCUGCAAGCUAAUUUCCAAAUUUAUUUUUCUAAUUAUCUCUAUUUCUGAAUGUUCCUAAGAGAUGUCAUUUAACAUCUAAAUUGUAAUUUUGUAAGAAGUCAAGCUUGACUCUUACAAAACAAAAAUAAAAGAGUUGUCAGGUUGGCUAACUGAACAUUUCAUCAAAUCCUUUUGUUUUUUAAAAAAAUAUAAAUCAAUAAGUUCCCCUCCAUAAAAUGGCAGGACAG